rnacentral:rRNA from 1 species
GACGAACGCUGGCGGCGUGCUUAACACAUGCAAGUCGAGCGGUAAGGCCCUUUCGGGGGUACACGAGCGGCGAACGGGUGAGUAACACGUGGGUGACCUGCCCUCAGCUCUGGGGAUAAGCCUGGGAAACCGGGUCUAAUACUGGAUAUGACUCCAUGACGCAUGUUGUGGGGUGGAAAGCCUUGUGCGGCUGAGGAUGGGCCCGCGGCCUAUCAGCUUGUUGGUGGGGUGAUGGCCUACCAAGGCGACGACGGUAGCCGGCCCGAGAGGCGACCGGCCACACUGGGACUGAGACACGGCCCAGACUCCUACGGGAGGCAGCAGUGGGGAAUCUUGCGCAAUGGGCGAAAGCCUGACGCAGCGACGCCGCGUGAGGGAUGACGGCCU